AUGAAUGUCAUUUUCUCGUAUCUUUUUAAAAUUCUUCACUUACAAAUGAAUGCAAGCGAACUGUUUGUGUUCUCCUCUCACCUGCUAGACUUUCUGUGU